ensembl:snRNA U1 U1 spliceosomal RNA
AUACUUACCUGGGAGAGGAGAUACCAUGAUCACAAAUGUGGCUUUCCCAAGGCGGGGCUUAUCCAUUGCACCUUGGCUAAGCUGAUCCCUGACAUUUCCCCAAAUGUGAGAAAAUCAACAGUUUAAUUUGUGGUAGUGGGGGACUGUGUUCAUGCUUUCCCUUG